rnacentral:tRNA from 1 species
GAGAUAUUAGUAAAAUAAUUACACAACUUUGUCAAAGUUGAUUUAUAGGUUAAAAUCCUUUAUGUCUUA